CAACGAUUACCCUGCAUCCGUGGAUGCCACCUGGUCAGGCCCGGAAGGGAGCAGCCAUAGCGGGAACAUCGAGUGCCAGGGUGUGGCUGGUGGGG
rnacentral:SRP_RNA from 1 species